ensembl:lncRNA
CACCAGUACCGACCAGUACACACCGGUAUAAACCAGUACCAACCAGUACCGACCAGUACACACCGGUACCGACCAGUACGGACCAGUAUAAACCAGUACCGACCAGUACGGACCAGUACACACCAGUACCGACCACUGGUAACCCGGCUGCAGCGCCGCCUCCGAGAACACCCACUGCGCCCGCCUGCAACCGCACACACCGCUACACACCAGUACGGACCAGUACGGACCAGUAUAAACCAGUACCGACCAGUACGGACCAGUACCGACCAGUACACACCGGUACCAACCACUGGUAGCCCGGCUGCAGCGCCGCCUCCGAGAACACCCACUGCCGCCCGCCUGCAACCGCACGCACCAGUACGGACCAGUAUAAACCAGUACGGACCAGUACACACCAGUACCGACCAGUACACACCAGUACCAACCACUGGUAACCCGGCUGCAGCACCGCCUCCGAGAACAC